UACAGAGGGGGCGAGCGUUGUUCGGAAUUACUGGGCGUAAAGGGCGCGUAGGCGGCCUGUUAAGUCGGACGUGAAAUCCCCGGGCUCAACCCGGGAACUGCGUCCGAUACUGGCAGGCUUGAAUCCGGGAGAGGGAUGUGGAAUUCCAGGUGUAGCGGUGAAAUGCGUAGAUAUCUGGAGGAAUACCGGUGGCGAAGGCGGCAUCCUGGACCGACAUUGACGCUGAACGGCGAAAGCUAGGGGAGCAAACGGG
rnacentral:rRNA from 1 species